UACAGAGGGUGCAAGCGUUGUUCGGAAUUAUUGGGCGUAAAGCGUGCGCAGGCGGUUUUGUAAGCCAGAUGUGAAAGCCCCGGGCUUAACCUGGGAAUGGCAUUUGGGACUGCAAGGCUAGAGUGCGGCAGAGGAGACUGGAAUUCCUGGUGUAGCAGUGAAAUGCGUAGAUAUCAGGAGGAAUACCGAUGGCGAAGGCAGGUCUCUGGGCUGACACUGACGCUCAUGCACGAAAGCGUGGGGAGCAAACAGG
rnacentral:rRNA from 1 species